ACGGAUAUAGGUUAAAGGUAGACUUAUCGAUUUCGAUUCGAGGUGUGUCAGUUCAAAUCAGACUAUCCGUA
rnacentral:tRNA from 1 species